rnacentral:rRNA from 1 species
GAUGAACGCUGGCGGCGUGCCUAAUACAUGCAAGUCGAGCGAACGGACGAGAAUCUUGCUUCUCUGAUGUUAGCGGCGGACGGGUGAGUAACACGUGGAUAACCUACCUAUAAGACUGGGAUAGCUUCGGGAAACCGUAGCUAAUACCGGAUAAUAUUUUGAACCGCAUGGUUCAAAAGUGAAAGACGGUCUUGCUGUCACUUAUAGAUGGAUCCGCGCUGCAUUAGCUAGUUGGUAAGGUAACGGCUUACCAAGGCAACGAUGCAUAGCCGACCUGAGAGGGUGAUCGGCCACACUGGAACUGAGACACGGUCCAGACUCCUACGGGAGGCAGCAGUAGGGAAUCUUCCGCAAUGGGCGAAAGCCUGACGGAGCAACGCCGCGUGAGUGAUGAAGGUCUUCGGAUCGUAAAACUCUGUUAUUAGGGAAGAACAUAUGUGUAAGUAACUGUGCACAUCUUGACGGUACCUAAUCAGAAAGCCACGGCUAACUACGUG